GUGAGCAAUCUGCCUUUCAGAGGGGGAUACCGAUUGGAAACGAUCGUUAAUACCGCAUAAUAUAAUUGAACCGCAUGAUUUGAUUAUCAAAGAUUUAUCGCUGAAAGAUGAGCUCGCGUCUGAUUAGCUAGUUGGUAAGGUAACGGCUUACCAAGGCGACGAUCAGUAGCCGGACUGAGAGGUUGAUCGGCCACAUUGGGACUGAGACACGGCCCAGACUCCUACGGGAGGCAGCAUG
rnacentral:rRNA from 1 species